rnacentral:lncRNA from 1 species
GAUGCUCCACCAUACUUCAAUAUAAACAAGGCAUUUCGCCAUAGUCCCAGGCAAAACAGUCUUUGUAUUCUUUCAAUACUUUGAUCGAUUUAACCUUCAUCUUCGACCCAACUUUAAUGCUUAUAUACGUUGUUUUUUUUUGUGACUCUAUCUCCUAGAUCUAUCUCUUCGAGUGGGUCUUGCGCUUUCAUUCUCUGCAACUCAUUCAAUGGGUUUUUCUCAAGCCCCAAAGGCUCAUUGUCAUAAAUGCAAUCUAGCCUUUGGAUUUCUGAAGCUAUUGUUUGGCCUUGUCGACCAUCUUCACAUUCUUCAACUUUGACUUCGAUAUCCAAAUUUUGUAGUUUC